UACGUAGGUGGCAAGCGUUGUCCGGAUUUAUUGGGUUUAAAGGGUGCGUAGGCGGCUUUGUAAGUUAGUGGUGAAAUAUGGCAGCUCAACUGUCAAGGUGCCAUUGAUACUGCGGAGCUUGAGUACAGAUGAGGUAGGCGGAAUUGACGGUGUAGCGGUGAAAUGCUUAGAUAUCGUCAAGAACACCUAUAGCGAAGGCAGCUUACUAGGCUGUAACUGACGCUGAGGCACGAAAGUGUGGGGAUCAAACAGG
rnacentral:rRNA from 1 species